GUGGGGAAUUUUGGACAAUGGGCGCAAGCCUGAUCCAGCAAUGCCGCGUGCAGGAAGAAGGCCUUCGGGUUGUAAACUGCUUUUGUACGGAACGAAACGGUCCGGGUUAAUACCCUGGGCUAAUGACGGUACCGUAAGAAUAAGCACCGGCUAACUACGUGCCAGCAGCCGCGGUAAUACGUAGGGUGCAAGCGUUAAUCGGAAUUACUGGGCGUAAAGCGUGCGCAGGCGGUUUUGUAAGACAGGCGUGAAAUCCCCGGGCUCAACCUGGGAAUUGCGCUUGAGACUGCAAGGCUGGAGUGCGGCAGAGGGGGAUGGAAUUCCGCGUGUAGCAGUGAAAUGCGUAGAUAUGCGGAGGAACACCGAUGGCGAAGGCAAUCCCCUGGGCCUGCACUGACGCUCAUGCACGAAAGCGUGGGGAGCAAACAGGAUUAGAAACCCGUGUAGUCC
rnacentral:rRNA from 1 species